GUGGGGAAUAUUGGACAAUGGGGGGAACCCUGAUCCAGCCAUGCCGCGUGUGUGAAGAAGGCCUUUUGGUUGUAAAGCACUUUAAGCGAGGAGGAGGCUACCGAGAUUAAUACUCUUGGAUAGUGGACGUUACUCGCAGAAUAAGCACCGGCUAACUCUGUGCCAGCAGCCGCGGUAAUACAGAGGGUGCAAGCGUUAAUCGGAUUUACUGGGCGUAAAGCGCGCGUAGGUGGCCAAUUAAGUCAAAUGUGAAAUCCCCGAGCUUAACGUGGGAAUUGCAUUCGAUACUGGUUGGCUAGAGUAUGGGAGAGGAUGGUAGAAUUCCAGGUGUAGCGGUGAAAUGCGUAGAGAUCUGGAGGAAUACCGAUGGCGAAGGCAGCCAUCUGGCCUAAUACUGACACUGAGGUGCGAAAGCAUGGGGAGCAAACAGGAUUAGAUACCCCGGUAGUCC
rnacentral:rRNA from 1 species